rnacentral:rRNA from 1 species
GACGAACGCUGGCGGCGUGCUUAACACAUGCAAGUCGAGAGAGGCCCCUCCUUCGGGAGGGUGUCCUAGCGGCGAACGGGUGAGUAACACGUGGGCAACCUGCCCUCAGCUCUGGGAUAACUCCGGGAAACCGGGGCUAAUACCGGAUACGACCUCCACGGGCAUCUGCGGAGGUGGAAAGUUUUUCGGCUGAGGAUGGGCCCGCGGCCUAUCAGCUAGUUGGUGGGGUAGUGGCCCACCAAGGCGACGACGGGUAGCCGGCCUGAGAGGGCGACCGGCCACACUGGGACUGAGACACGGCCCAGACUCCUACGGGAGGCAGCAGUGGGGAAUAUUGCGCAAUGGGCGAAAGCCUGACGCAGCGACGCCGCGUGAGGGACGAAGGCCUUCGGGUUGUAAACCUCUUUCAGCAGGGACGAAGCGAAAGUGACGGGACCUGCAGAAGAAGCACCGGCCAACUACG